CCUACGGGAGGCAGCAGUGGGGAAUAUUGCACAAUGGGGGAAACCCUGAUGCAGCGACGCCGCGUGAGUGAAGAAGUAUUUCGGUAUGUAAAGCUCUGUCAGCAGGGAAGAAAAUGACGGUACCGGACAAAGAAGGCCCGGCUAACUACGUGCAAGCAGCCGCGGGAACACGUAGGGGGCAAGCGUUAUCCGGAUUUACUGGUGGUAAGGGGAGCGUAGACGGCAGGGCAAGGCUGGGGUGAAAGGCGGGGGCUCAACCCCCGUACUGCUCUGGAAACUGCCAGGCUGGAGUGCAGGAGAGGUAAGUGGAAUUCCUAGUGUAGCGGUGAAAUGCGUAGAUAUUAGGAGGAACACCAGUGGCGAAGGCGACUUACUGGACUGUAACUGACGUUGAGGCUCGAAAGCGUGGGGAGCAAACAGGAUUAGAUACCCCAGUAGUC
rnacentral:rRNA from 1 species